rnacentral:rRNA from 1 species
GAUGAACGCUAGCUACAGGCUUAACACAUGCAAGUCGAGGGGCAGCAUUUUUAUAGCAAUAUAAAAGAUGGCGACCGGCGCACGGGUGAGUAACACGUAUCCAACCUGCCGAUAACUCGGGGAUAGCCUUUCGAAAGAAAGAUUAAUAUCCGAUGGUAUAUUAAAACCGCAUGGUUUUUACUAUUAAAGAAUUUCGGUUAUCGAUGGGGAUGCGUUCCAUUAGUUUGUUGGCGGGUAACGGCCCACCAAGACUACGAUGGAUAGGGGUUCUGAGAGGAAGGUCCCCCACAUUGGAACUGAGACACGGUCCAAACUCCUACGGGAGGCAGCAGUGAGGAAUAUUGGUCAAUGGACGAGAGUCUGAACCAGCCAAGUAGCGUGAAGGAUGACUGCCCUAUGGGUUGUAAACUUCUUUUUAAUAUGGGAAUAAAGUAUUCCACGUGUGGAAUUUUGUAUGUACCAUAUGAAUAAGGAUCGGCUAACUCCGUGCCAGCCGCCGCGGUAA